rnacentral:rRNA from 1 species
GACGAACGCUGGCGGCGUGCUUAACACAUGCAAGUCGAACGAUGAACUACCAGCUUGCUGGUGGGGAUUAGUGGCGAACGGGUGAGUAACACGUGAGUAACCUGCCCUGGACUCUGGGAUAACCCCGAGAAAUCGGAGCUAAUACCGGAUAGGACCUUUCCCUGCAUGGGGUUUGGUGGAAAGUUUUUCGGUCUGGGAUGGACUCGCGGCCUAUCAGCUUGUUGGUGAGGUAAUGGCUCACCAAGGCGUCGACGGGUAGCCGGCCUGAGAGGGUGACCGGCCACACUGGGACUGAGACACGGCCCAGACUCCUACGGGAGGCAGCAGUGGGGAAUAUUGCACAAUGGGCGCAAGCCUGAUGCAGCAACGCCGCGUGCGGGAUGACGGCCUUCGGGUUGUAAACCGCUUUUAGUAGGGAAGAAGGGCUUCGGCUUGACGGUACCUGCAGAAAAAGGACCGGCUAACUACGUGCCAGCCGCCGCGGUAAGAC